AGGAAGUCAGGCAAGUCAGGUGUCGGGAGACUGACAGCAGAAAGGGUGACCUUGGAGCAGACCUUCUCAGCCUCCUGUACAAGAACAGAAAUAGUGUACAUUAUAGGCAUGGAGUGGAUAACAAAAAAAAAAAAAAAAGACCCAACGCAUCCUGCCUACACUUCCUCACACAUUUUUUUCACUGCACAUGCCAGCUGCUGAACACUAGUCCUCCUCAGGAGAUCGCAUGUCCUGUUCUCCACCUGGUCAAAGCGCCGUAUUCUUCCUUCCUGGCUUCCUCCUCGGGAUUGCUUCAAGGUCGUGACCGCCUUUGCUGUCUGCUUCCCCCCAAAGCCUGACGGACUCCUUUGGAUCUGGCUGCCUCCACCAUGUCUUCAUCUUCACUGCCCUGUUGACCCCCCACGCCGACAUUCCAAUCCAGGUCAUUGCGACUGUGAGCCCUAAAUAUCUGAACUAACACACACAAAAGGACCUCUUUUGUACCUUUUUACUCAUGUCAGCUUCUUAGAGGAGCUCGUGUCCAACGUGUGCUGUCCCAAAUGUGAGAAUAGAGAGAGCAUGUCACCGAUGAAGACUUCAAUGCUUUUUGUUGUUCUGUGGCCAUUUUGGAAGAGGUGCCUUGAAACGAACAUGAGGGCCCUCCAGCUUUUUUUGCUUGAGUUUGCCACCAUCUUCAUAUUACCUCAUUUCAAUCCAACAUAGUGAAGAAAAAAAAAAAAAAUCAAUCUAUGCAGACGUCAGUGUUGCAUGAAAGAAUUUAAUUCACGCUCUGUGUUCAAAU